AUAGGAAUUGCCAGGGGAUCUUAUUAAAAUGCAGGUGCCAAUUCAGUGGUUCUGCAAGGGGCCCAAGACUCUGCAUUUCUAACAAGCACCCAGAGGAUGCUGAC
rnacentral:pre_miRNA from 1 species